rnacentral:lncRNA from 1 species
AAAGCUUUCAUCCUGACAGCUGAAAAAGAACUUGUCUAUAAUUAGCAAAGCAGCUUCUUCCAGCAGUGCCUGGUUUCAAGUAUCUGAAAUGGUUCUAACUAAACUGUGCUCCAGCUUGGCAGCAAACAGCUGUCUGACAUUGGGAAAAUGCCUUAAAUUUCCAGGCUUCAGUUUCUUCAAUUUUAAAGCAAGGGUGUUGGACAGAGUGGUCUCUGAGGUCACUUCUAACCAGAGAGAGAGAGAACACACUGGAUGAAACAACCAGUACUCCACAGGUACUGACCAGGAAAUAACUGAGAACUUGAGCCAACUGUAAUGAGAAAUUAGGAAAAUCUGUGCGUCCAAGCCAGCCUUUUACUGAAGUGAAUGUGAAAUGACUGAUACUUUCUAAACAGUAUUUUUCUGUGUCGAUGACAAACCUGAUCAUGUAUGUUACAUAAAUGCAAGAAAAAGUGCAAAAUAUAUUUUAAACUUGGGGAGGAAAAUUCAGCUUUACUAAUUGCUACAAAGUCUGUCUCCCAAAAUUGAAAAGCAAAACUACAGAAAGAUGAGUUGACAUAUAUUAAAAACAGACAAAAAACAAACCAACCCCUUUGCACCAGCCGUUUUGCAUCAGCGACAUCCGCUGACUGGUGGUUCAUCUCCCAACCCUGCACAAUGGAAAGACCUUGCCUGUCUUGGAUUCCUCACUGGAGUCACCUUGCACAGCCCUGCCUCCCUGACCCAGCUUUUUGCCAUUACCAGAUUGAUAUGCAGAUGGAUACAAACCCUGGAGACCUGUCACUGAAGCUGCUACGUACAUGCAAAGUGUAUAUUUAUCAGUACCGAGUUCAUACUCAUUAAGUUUGUACUAUUUGACUCUUAUACAGUAUGGUAGUUACCUCUUACUGGUAAUCAUAGCAUUUUGAUUAAAAUUUGUGUGCCAACUAGGCUGAAAUAAAAAAUAUUAAACUAUGUCAAAUUUGUCAUAUUAAAACAGUUUGACCAACAAAGGAAGGAAAGAUAUGAAGGUAAGCU